CCGGGGCGGCCUCCGGGGGCACCGGCUGCGAGCGGAGCGGCACCGGCACCGGGACGGAGAACAAUAGCGGCGCUGGGAACAAUGGAGCGGCCGCCGCUCCCCGCCUAGCGAUGCGGCCGAGGGCAGCGGUCCCGGCCCGGCGGUAGCGCAGGACCCGCGGCCCGGGUUUUCUCCUGACCCCGCCGUGUCCCCCCAGCCCGGCUCCCCCCAUGCCCGCCCGGCCCCGCCAUGGAGCUCAGCACGGGGGGCGCGGUGCCCUGCGGGAAGGACAAGUUCAUCUCCAGGAAUGAGCUGCUCCUGCACCUCAAGACCUACAACAUCUACUACGAGGGGCAGAACCUGCAGCUGCGGCACCGGGAGGAGGAAGGGGAGCUGAUCGUGGAGGGGCUGCUGAACAUCUCGUGGGGGCUGCGCCGCCCCAUCCGCCUGCAGAUGCAGGACGACAACCAGCGCAUCCGCCCGCCGCCCUCCUCCUCCUCCUGGCACUCGGGCUGCAACCUGGGCGCCCACGGGUCCGUGCUGAAGCCCAGCACCCUGCCGGACAUCCAGGUGACAGAUGUGGACACGGCCACCGGCACGGAGAAUCCCGGGAAUGGCACAGCCCCCAGGGCGGCAGAGGAGGCCCCGCAGCUGAUGAGGACCCGCAGCGACGUCGGCGUCCGGCCCCGCGGCAGCGCCCGCACGGCCGGCGAGCAGCGGCGGCUGCGGCGGCACCGCUUCUCCAUCAACGGGCACUUCUACAACCACAAGACCUCGGUGUUCACACCCGCCUACGGCUCCGUCACCAACGUGCGCAUCAACAGCACCAUGACCACGCCCCAGGUGCUCAAACUGCUGCUCAACAAGUUCAAGAUCGAGAACUCAGCAGAGGAGUUUGCUCUGUACAUGGUGCACACGAGCGGAGAGAAGCAGCGGCUGCGCGGCAGCGAUUUCCCGCUGCUGGCCCGCGUGCUGCAGGGCCCCUGCGAGCAGGUGUCCAAGGUGUUCCUCAUGGAGAAGGACCAGGUGGAGGAGGUCACCUACGACGUCGCCCAGUACAUCAAAUUCGAGAUGCCCAUCCUCAGGAGCUUCAUCCAGAAGCUGGAGGAGGAGGAGGACCGGGAAGUGAAGAAGCUGAAGCACAAGUACUCCAUCCUGCGGCUGAUGAUCGAGCAGAGGCUGGAGGAGAUCUGCGAGGGCCCCACGGCCAUGUGAGCAUCCCCGGGAUGUGCUGCACCAAACCCCAGCCCCAAAACGCUCCUGGACGGCCCCAAACCCGAGCCAAAGCCCCUCCCAAAAACUCCAUCCCUCAAAAUCCUCGGGGGGCUCCUCCCAGGAAGCCUCUGGCUGGGGCAGCUCCAGCCAGAGCCUCAAAUCCAGGGGAAAAAAGGCAAAAAAAAUAAAUAGACAAAAGAGGAAUUCUGUGAGCAGCGCCAAGGUGGGGCUGCCAGAAUUGCAGAGCUGGGAUUUUGGGGGGGCUCGGGCUGGAAAUUCCCAAUUCUGGAAAAUACAGGGGAAAAGAAACAAAACAAAAAGGAGAAAAAAGAGGAGAAUUCCAGAGCUGGGAUUUUGGGGGGCUCAGGUUGGAAAUUCCCAACUCUGGAAAACACAGGGGGAAAAAAAUUUUAAAAAAGAGAGAAAAAGGAGGAAUUCUGUGAGCAGCACCAAGGUGGGGCUGCCAGAAUUCCAGAGCUGGAAUUUUGGGGGGCUCUGGUUGAAAAUGCCCACUGUGGCUCCCCGUGAGGGUCCUGCUGCUCGGCAGCAACGGAGCACAGAAAAUUUCCUCUUUUUUUUUUUUAAAUGAGAAAAGCACAUUCCUGCCCUAUCACCGCAAUAAUUCCCAGGUGUGGGGAGGAUUUAUAAAUCCCAAGGGUUGGCUGAGGUUUUGGGGGGGUUUAGCCCUGACCUGGGGGCUCGUGGGUGCGUUUCCAGCCCAGGAGAAAAUCCCAUUUUUCCCCCAAAGCUGCAGCCACGGCGUGGCCCCUCCGCCCCCCCCCCCCCCCCCGUAAUUUGCACUAAUAUUUCAGGAUUUUGCAGAAAACCACGAUGUCAAACCUCUCUGGUAGCUGAAAAUGCCAAAAACCACAAAAGCGAAUGGCUGAGGGCCUCGAGCACCUCGAGGGGUCUGGGUGGGGAAAGGGGGAGAGGCAGGAGGAGGCAGAAAUAAAGAGGAUUUUGUUUUCCAAAUCCAUUUUCUAGCCAGGAAACGAUCCUGGUGAAACCAGGAAAAACCUCUUUCCUCCCAGGCUAAACCAGCAAUACCCAUUUUAUACCUCGAUGUGAAUUAACUUUCCCCCCACUUCCCUUUGAGUUUUUGCAAUGCAUCUUUGUAAUUUUUUUCUUUUUUUUUAAUUUUUAAUGUUUAAAUUUAAAUUUUAAUUUUAAUGGUACCUUUUCCACCUCUAACUCACGUUGGGGAAAGUGUUUGUACAGCGAGAGGAGCUUUGGAUGUGUUUGAAGGAUGAUUGUGGCACUGCUGCGUGGAUUAACAAGGAAAUAAAAUAAAAUAAAUAAAAUAAAAUAAAAUAUGUAGCAACUUCAUGCAGAAU